CCUCUCCAUUGGAGUCGGAGGUGAAUCCAACUGCAACUGUUCCCUUUAUAAUUUUGACCCCUUUAUUAGCAUAAUACUCCUCGUAGAACGCAGCAAUGUCCGGAGUGAAAAGCCGGGGCACUACAAGAACAAUCUUCCAGUUAGAAAUUCUCUAGAAACCAGAUUAGUAUCUUGAAAGGCCGGCAGUAGCAAAUUUACUUACUGCACCAAGGCUCAGGGUACACCAUGGUGACAUCAAAAUGGUUAAUUUUCAUCACUGCAGCAAGCUCAAGACCAAUAUAGCCUCCUCCAACAAUAACAGCCUUUCCAUUCUUCUUUGCUUUGAUUGCUUCCAGCAACUUAUCAGCAUCAUCAAUUUCUCUCAGGUAAAA
rnacentral:lncRNA from 1 species